AUUGAACGCUGGCGGUAUGCUUUACACAUGCAAGUCGAACGGUAACAGGUCUUCGGAUGCUGACGAGUGGCGAACGGGUGAGUAAUGUAUCGGAACGUGCCUAGUAAUGGGGGAUAACCACUCGAAAGAGUGACUAAUACCGCAUAAUAUCUCAGGAUGAAAGCGGGGGAUCGCAAGACCUCGCGUUAUUAGAGCGGCCGAUAUCAGAUUAGGUAGUUGGUGGGAUAAAAGCCUACCAAGCCAACGAUCUGUAGCUGGUCUGAGAGGACGACCAGCCACACUGGGACUGAGACACGGCCCAGACUCCUACGGGAGGCAGCAGUGGGGAAUUUUGGACAAUGGGCGAAAGCCUGAUCCAGCAAUACCGCGUGCAGGACGAAGGCCUUCGGUUGUAAACUGCUUUGUACGGAACGAAACGGUUCAGAUUAAUACUCUGAACUAAUGACGGUACCGUAAGAAUAAGCACCGGCUAACUACGUGCCAGCAGCCGCGGUAAAACGUACUA
rnacentral:rRNA from 1 species